GGGGAUGCAAGGCAUCGACGGGAAAUUCGCACUUUUAUAGAUCGUUGGGGCGCACCUGUUGCGUUAAACGGAAACAAUAACUGAUAAGCAAUUGUCAGAUUUCCGAGAAGCGAUGUUGGCUAGGUCAUAUGCAAAUAUGAACUUUGCCUACGUUAACUAAUCGGGCUCUCUUUAGAUUUCUUCCGAUUCAAUCUAUAUGAGGGAUAAACCAAUCGGAAUAAGGCUCUUGAAAGUAACUGAUUGUAUCUUGAGUCGACAACCCUAAUCAGCUGUUUGUUACGAUUUGAUUAUUUAAGCGGGCAAACAAGAGUAAAAAUAAUCUAACCCCAACUAAAAAUCUAUAUGAGUGUUUUCUCGGACGCGGGUUCAACUCCCGCCAUCUCCACCA
rnacentral:tmRNA from 1 species